rnacentral:rRNA from 1 species
AACGGAGAGGGCGGGUGUUAUUCGUACUGACUGGGUGUAAAACGCAUGUAGGCUGAAUUAAAAGUUUAAAUGUAAAUUGUACAAUUAAAUGUUUGGCAUAUAUUUAAAUACUUUUUUUCUAAGAGUUUUGGGGAGGGUUAUAGUAUUUUAGGUGUAGAGCUGAAAUUCGUUAAAAUCUAAAGAACUGUCAAAUGGUGAAGACAAUAAUCUAUUCAAAUACUGACGCUGAGAUGCAAAAGCGUGGGUAUCGAACAGG